rnacentral:rRNA from 1 species
CCCUUAGAUGUUCUGGGCGGCCCGCGCACUACAUUGGCACUCUCAACAAGUUCCUAGAUCUAAAACUUUGGGGUAUUCUAUUAAGUGGUGUCGUGACUGGGAUUAACCCUUGCAAUUAUUGGUUACGAACGAGGAAUUCCUUGUAAUCGCGGUUUAUCAGCCCGCGUUGAAUGCGUCCCUGCCCUUUGUACACACCGCCCGUCGCUCCUACCGAUGAAUCGUCCGGUGAAGUUCAUGGAGUGGUGGUUGUUCCAGCUGCUGUCGAAGUGAAAUGGACCUCACGAUUUAGAGGAAGGAGAAGUCGUAACA